UGACCCUACGGGAGGCAGCAGUGGGGGAUAUUGCACAAUGGGGGAAACCCUGAUGCAGCGACGCCGCGUGAGUGAAGAAGUAUUUCGGUAUGUAAAGCUCUAUCGGCAGGGAAGAAAAAGCGCGCGAGCGCCCUUGACAGUACCUGACUAAGAAGCCCCGGCUAACUACGUGCCAGCAGCCGCGGUAAUACGUAGGGGGCAAGCGUUAUCCGGAUUUACUUGGUGUAAAGGGAGCGUAGGCGGCCCUGCAAGUCAGCAGUGAAAACCCGGGGCUCAACCCUGGGGGUGCUUUUG
rnacentral:rRNA from 1 species